UUUGGAAGCCUACUACCGAAAAUACUUGCAAAAGAAUAACAAGAGGAAUCUCAACUCUACGUCAUGUCAAGCCAUUUAUUGCUGCCAAAGAGACACACUUAUCUCCAUAUACAAUGCGGUCGUACGUCCCUACUUCGAUUGUUGUUUUGAUGUUUAGGAUGUAUUUGGGGAAAUACAAUCUACACGACUACAAAAGUUCCAAAACAGAG